rnacentral:rRNA from 1 species
GAUGAACGCUGGCGGCGUGCCUAAUACAUGCAAGUCGAACGCAUAGCGAAAGGUGCUUGCACCUUUCAAGUGAGUGGCGAACGGGUGAGUAACACGUGGACAACCUGCCUCAAGGCUGGGGAUAACAUUUGGAAACAGAUGCUAAUACCGAAUAAAACUUAGUGUCGCAUGACACAAAGUUAAAAGGCGCUUCGGCGUCACCUAGAGAUGGAUCCGCGGUGCAUUAGUUAGUUGGUGGGGUAAAGGCCUACCAAGACAAUGAUGCAUAGCCGAGUUGAGAGACUGAUCGGCCACAUUGGGACUGAGACACGGCCCAAACUCCUACGGGAGGCUGCAGUAGGGAAUCUUCCACGAUGGGCGAAAGCCUGAUGGAGCAACGCCGCGUGUGUGAUGAAGGCUUUCGGGUCGUAAAGCACUGUUGUAUGGGAAGAACAGCUAGAAUAGGAAAUGAUUUUAGUUUGACGGUACCAUACCAGAAAGGGACGGCUAAAUACGUG